UUUUCUUUCUUUCACCCGUGCUCGUUAACGACUCGAUGCCUCUGCCUUUCGGCGAGUGAUCUCCUUUACUUCAGAAGUAUUUCUAUUCUAACAGGAACUUUCCUAGAAUGUUAUAUUUGUGUAUUCUCUAAGGUCAAAAUACUGUACACCUCGUAAAUUACAGUUAUAAACCAGCUACAGUUUAAAGAAACCUUCACCACAAUUGGUUUACUUCAAGCAAAGCACAAAGAUGCAGAAGAAAUAUAAGAUAAAGAGCACACCACCACAUCAUUAGUCUCAAGUUUGUAUUAAAACAUAAAAAAGUUAUUUAACUAAAAUUAUUUUAUUUUUAUUCCUUUCAGUACACAAGAAGAAUCACUGUACAAAGUAAAUUUAGCUGCCAAUUCACAACAACUUUCAAAAAAUAAUUUCUUACACCAUUUAAAAGAUGGUUACAGUCCUGUAUUGCAAAGUUCUUGCCUGAAAAGAGAGAGGAUACAACUUUGCAAGGGUGACACCAAUGCUAAGGGUAACAAGUUCACAGAAACUACAACAUCAUUCAGACAGAUUUGUAUUUUUGUGGUAGGUAAGACUACUGACAAUUUUUUGGAGGCAGCCUGCGCCUUUACAAACAUAGCUUUUACGAAUGCCAGUCUAGAAUUGCCCCGUGCAGAAAAAGAAAAUUACCCAGUUUUACAAAGUUUCUUCAACUGCUCUUUUUUUAUUUUUCACACAGCGACAAACUUGCGGGGGUACCCUUGUUGCCAGAAAAUGAAACAGAAGAAGAAAACCCCAAUUACUGUCUUUCAAGAGACACACUCGACAUUUAACCCUGCCUUAUUGUCGUACAAAUAUUUACGGGCUCUGCAAUUUCUUUUAGAACCGGUUCCCGAAAUACCGGGUCUAUUUCCAACAUGUAAUAGUAUAUAAUAACUUUGUACAAAAAUAAUUCAGGUACAAAUUACACUCAAAUAUUCCCGAAUACAUAUACACAAAAUUACAAUAGUAGGAAUUACAAACAUUUUCCGAGCAACUCGUUGUCAGUAUUUCUGUUCUACGGGCACUCGUGCACAACUAAAAACUACAUAAAAAUGGUAACAAUUCAAAAAAGAAAAAUAAGCAAUUAUCAGUUCACAAGAUGCAUAACAGUCAUUCUCUUUGGUUUUUUUAACUGCAGUUUUGUAAGAACACAGAUACAUGGCACAAUGCUACACAGUACAAAGAACUACAAUACAGUUCUGUCAUCUACACUACGAUACGCUACACUACUCGGCAGAGAUUAAGUUGCUGCCUCUACGAGAGCACUGUCUAAUAGUCGUAGCAUUUACUCUCUCUUCCCUCGCUGUGGUGUGGCAAAAGUCUGGUACUGUCCACACUUUUUCCACUGUUACAAUGCAAACGCAAUCUUUAUUCCCCCACACACACAGUGUGAAUGGAACAGACGCUGAUGGCAGUCAAUAACUCCCAAAAUAAGUAUUAAGUAAUGUAUAUUGCAACUUCAACUAAAUUAUUAAAAAAUGAUAAUUGUGUGAGGUGGGUGCAGCUUCCCUAAAUUGCAGUAUUCUCUCUCCUUUGUGUGGACGUCUAAUAAAUUGUAAAAUGUGACACGACUGUUGUUUCAGAGACUGCUGUAAGUACAGAAAUCAUUCUUAUUUCUUUAAUUUAUCCAGAUCACAGCUUUUAGUCUUCAGUUUUGACAGUAGACUGGAGUCACCUUCAGAAUGAGUACUGCAGAAUACAGAGCCCCAUAGAUACCAGUACAAGUGAGUCACAAAUCUCUAUGCUGCAACAUUUGAUCUGAUGGUGACUGUACCUUACAGCCAAAGAUGAAUCCUUAGGUGAUACAAAACUGCAGUGACCAUGGAGUAAGGGGGAGGAGGGGGGAGGAGGAGGGGGAGACAACAGUUCACAUAAAAGGAGUGAGAACCAACUGCUGUAGACUCAAAUGGGGAGGAUGCCAAACUGAUGAAAAGAACAGUUAUCCUCUUUGAACACAUUGAUAGAAUAUGUGAGGAGAUAUUAACACAUUACGAGUACACAAGACAUCUAGUGUAUGGUAGAAAUAUUAGAGCACAAGGAAUAAGAAUUUAUAAUGGAGGAACUUUGAAACUCCCAAAGGGCUCCAAGACACAAACACCGUGAGGAAAGAUUCCAACGAAGAAAGAGUAUAAAGACAGGAACAAUCCAAUUUAUAGUAACGGGCUUCACAGAUGAUCAAAAAUAAAAAGAAUAGAGAAACAGCUAUCUUUGUUUUAUGAAAUACUCUGCUUAUUACUUUUCACUUUGCCAGAUCAUUUGCUUGGUGCAGGACCUGCUUGGAAUGUGCUACAAUUGCAAUGAUGACUGUUUAUUAGAAUAUAUCAAUAGACAAGAGGAGUUGAGUUUCAGGCAGGUGCAAUAAAAAUAAUAACAGAAAUAAUCAGCUUUCAAACUAAGCUCUUCACUGUACAUAGAAAAAACCCACGCAGUCACAGUGCCUGGCCACGUGUGUGGGAGAGUUGUGUUCAUGUGAACAAGUGUAAGUUUUGUAUGUCUGACAAGGGGCUUUGUCCAAAAGCUGAGUGUUUCCAGCAUUCUUUUUCACUGUUCCUGUCUGUGGCCAAGUUGCUCCUCUAUGUGGUCAGUAGCAGUCUAUCCUAUCUGUGUUCUUAUUCUUCUGUCCUGGAUUUCUCACUGUUGAAAAAGUGAAAAUAUUCAAAUAAUGACAAAUAAGCAUUACACACCAUGUGUAAGUGGCUGACACAUUCAUUUAUCAGCAAUGUAGUAUUUUACUAAAGAUAGUGUUAUUACUGUUCUGUUUCUAUUACAUUUCUAGCAAAAUCAGAUGACUAAACUCUUACUACUUCUCCAUCUCGAAAGCCUUUUCAGAAUUAACAAUGGCCCCAAACACACACAAUAUCUGCCAUUUCCAUUGGCUCCGAAUCCUUUUCUUUAGCUUAUGUCUCAGCUCUGCGUAACACUCUUGUGAGCCUAUUAAAAUUCCGACAGGUUUGACACGAUUCUCAGUCACGUACCAAUAUUUCAAAAUUUACUCUUCAUUAGAACAGUUGGUUCAAACACAUAUUUGCAACAGUAAAUUUGUAACGUCCUUUUCUCAGACGGAUUUACGAUUGUGUGUCUUUCCCACUUGCAGUUACUUCAGUUUCACAAGUGUUUAUCCUUCAUAA